UGGAGGGGUGUGGCUGAACAGCGAUGUUUUACCAUAGAUAUACGGAAUUAGGCACAUGGUACCACAAAGCUUGCCCUUCUUCUUUACCUCAUUCCUUUGCUUCUUUGCUCGCUCAAACUCACUCAAUCUCAGUCCAGAGAUAAGCUUAGACUUCGUAUUAUGGAACAAGAAAAGAGAUGGAGGAUAUUUUGACUACUACUAGGUGAUGCAUGGGGGUUUCCUCGAAUGUUAAAGACAAGGUUAAAGCAGAAAAGGUAUACCAGUUAUUACCGAUACCUCAGAGCUACCAAGAGAGUUAAGCAUUCUAAUGCAUGAGUCUACAUUCACAAUGACUUAAUUAACAUUGUAUUACUGUAUUGGCAUUACUGACCCAAUUCAAUAUGAACUCUUCAUUUAUCAUUACUAGUAUCACUUUUGUGACAUUUGUUAUUUCAUUGUAAAUUGUUCUGAUUUCAAUAGUUUCAAAAUAAUUAUUAAAGUAUUAA